rnacentral:rRNA from 1 species
GAUGAACGCUGGCGGCGUGCCUAAUACAUGCAAGUCGAGCGAACGGACGAGAAGCUUGCUUCUCUGAUGUUAGCGGCGGACGGGUGAGUAACACGUGGAUAACCUACCUAUAAGACUGGGAUAACUUCGGGAAACCGGAGCUAAUACCGGAUAAUAUUUUGAACCGCAUGGUUCAAAAGUGAAAGACGGUCUUGCUGUCACUUAUAGAUGGAUCCGCGCUGCAUUAGCUAGUUGGUAAGGUAACGGCUUACCAAGGCAACGAUGCAUAGCCGACCUGAGAGGGUGAUCGGCCACACUGGAACUGAGACACGGUCCAGACUCCUAAGGGAGGCAGCAGUAGGGAAUCUUCCGCAAUGGGCGAAAGCCUGACGGAGCAACGCCGCGUGAGUGAUGAAGGUCUUCGGAGCGUAAAACUCUGUUAUUAGGGAAGAACAUAUGUGUAAGUAACUGUGCACAGCUUGACGGUACCUAAUCAGAAAGCCACGGCUAACUACGUG